rnacentral:sRNA from 1 species
ACUUCCGGUGGGAGAGUCCCAAACGGCCAGCGGCUGGGAAUUUGCGGUUCUAGCAUUGAAAAGAAAAGCUUCACAGCCUGGAAUGAAACGAAACUGAAUGUCCUUGAAACCAGUUGACGGAGGAGCAAGCUUAAAAGACUAUGACUUCAGUCAGAUGAUUGGAUUUUAACCUUGGCAACGUGGCCUUUUAACAUGCCAAACUCUUGAGUAAACCUGUACAAGGAGAAUGUAUGACUUACGUCCUCCCAGUGCUAUGGUUUAAAGACCCUUUAAGACUUAGAGGCAGGAUAAUAUGCUCCAACGUUACGACAUUAAAGGUGUGAAGGAUAUGUGCAAGAUAAAGCAGCCAGGGAUUUAAGUCUGGCAACAGUUGGACUGCUGGAUUUUCAGAGAAGCGUUCCCCAAAGCAAAUUAUGGUGCUAAUUUCCAAUGUUCCAUAAGCAUGGCAAGAAAAAUGGGAAGUUCUCGGUAAGGUAUAUAGUAUUAUUUCUAGAAAUAAAUAUGAACCAAUCCAAGAUUGAUUUUUUGUUUGUUUAAUCCUGGCAGUAUUCUGAACUAAAUCGUAUUCAUUCUUCCCUUUACUUUCCAGACUUUUUUAUUUUAUUUAUUUAUUUAUUUUUUGAGACAGA